AACAAACGCUGGCGGCGUGCCUAAUACAUGCAAGUCGAACGGGGAAAGCUUUCGGGUGAGUACUAGUGGCGCACGGGUGAGUAACGCGUGGAUAAUCUGCCUCAGAGUGGGGGAUAACUAGUCGAAAGAUUAGCUAAUACCGCAUAAGACCACAAGAACUGCGGUUCAAGGGGUCAAAGGUUUUUCGCUCUAAGAUGAGUCCGCGUAAGAUUAGCUAGUUGGUAGGGUAACGGCCUACCAAGGCGACGAUCUUUAACUGGUCUGAGAGGAUGAUCAGUCACACUGGAACUGAGACACGGUCCAGACUCCUACGGGAGGCAGCAGUAGGGAAUAUUGCACAAUGGAGGAAACUCUGAUGCAGCGACGCCGCGUGAGUGAUGAAGGCCUUCGGGUCGUAAAGCUCUGUCGCAGGGGAAUAACACAAUGAAGGUACCCUGCAAGAAAGGAUCGGCUAACUUCGUGCCAGCAGCCGCCGUAAGAC
rnacentral:rRNA from 1 species